UGGCAAGAACUGCACUGUCAAGGCUGC
rnacentral:piRNA from 1 species